rnacentral:rRNA from 1 species
UAAUGGCCUACCAAGGCGAAGAUCGGUAUCCGGCCUGAGAGGGCGCACGGACACACUGGAACUGAAACACGGUCCAGACUCCUACGGGAGGCAGCAGUGGGGAAUUUUGCGCAAUGGGGGAAACCCUGACGCAGCAACGCCGCGUGGAGGAUGAAGCCCCUUGGGGCGUAAACUCCUUUCGACCGGGAAAAUAAUGAUGGUACCGGUGGAAGAAGCACCGGCUAACUCUGUGCCAGCAGCCGCGGUAAUACAGAGGGUGCGAGCGUUGUUCGGAAUUAUUGGGCGUAAAGGGCGCGUAGGCGGUGCGGUAAGUCACCUGUGAAACCACUAGGCUUAACAUAGAGCCUGCAGGCGAAACUGCCGUGCUGGAGGGUGGGAGAGGUGCGUGGAAUUCCCGGUGUAGCGGUGAAAUG